rnacentral:rRNA from 1 species
CAAUAGCGUAUAUUAAAGUUGUUGCAGUUAAAAAGCUCGUAGUUGGAUUUCUGCUGAGGACGAUCGGUCCGCCCACUGGGUGAGUAUCUGGCUCGGCCUUGGCAUCUUCUUGGAGAACGUUGCUGCACUUGACUGUGUGGCGCGGUAUCCAGGACUUUUACUUUGAGGAAAUUAGAGUGUUUCAAGCAGGCGCACGCCUUGAAUACAUUAGCAUGGAAUAAUGAGAUAGGACCUUGGUUCUAUUUUGUUGGUUUCUAGAGCUGAGGUAAUGAUUAAUAGGGAUAGUUGGGGGCAUUCGUAUUUAACUGUCAGAGGUGAAAUUCUUGGAUUUGUUAAAGACGAACUACUGCGAAAGCAUUUGCCAAGGAUGUUUUCAUUGA